UGUGACAGAAUAGUGUGAUAAAUUUAAAAAUUAUUUAAAAAGUUAAACUUUCUUUAGAA
rnacentral:tRNA from 1 species